rnacentral:rRNA from 1 species
UACGAAGGGUGCAAGCGUUACUCGGAAUUACUGGGCGUAAAGCGUGCGUAGGCGGUUUGUUAAGUCCGUUGUGAAAGCCCUGGGCUCAACCUGGGAAUUGCAGUGGAUACUGGCAAGCUAGAGUACGGUAGAGGAUGGUGGAAUUCCCGGUGUAGCGGUGAGAUGCGCAGAUAUCAGGAGGAACACCGGUGGCGAAGGCGGGUCUCUGGGCCGAUACUGACGCUGAGGAGCGAAAGCGUGGGGAGCAAACAGG